rnacentral:lncRNA from 1 species
CAUAUUAUUAGUAGUAGUACUAUUAUCACAAUUGUAUUAUUAUUAUUAUUAUUGUUAUUAUUAUUAUUUUUCCUGUCUUAUUAAACUGUCUUUAUCUCAACUCACGGGCUUCACUUUCCAUUUCUCUCCCCUGUCCCAGAAAGGGAGGGGGGAGGGUGAGCGAACGGCUGCGUGGUGUUUAGCUGCCGGCUGGGUUAAACCACGACAAUAUAUUUUCUCCCCAUUCCUCUUUGAGGAGGGGGAGUGAGAGAGCGGUUGUGGUGGAGCUCGGCUGCCCACCUGAGUAAAACCACCACAGUCUGUACCUCCAGUCUGUACAGUUUCACCUAGUUGGAGUUACUUUAUAUAAGAUGCAAGAUGCAAGGGCAGCGAUGCAGAUUAACAUGUAAGAAAAUACAGAACCUUCACAUUAGGAUCAACCAGCCUGAGCACUCCUUUAGCAUUGAAAAUGGGCCUCUCUUAAUACCCAUGUGUGGGAGGGACUGGGAAGUUCCCAGUAAGCCUACUGCUGCUGAGCAGAGUCUGAAUAAUAAAGCACUAGAAGUUGUGACCAGUGAAAGAAGCAAAUUAAGGUAGCCAUCACAACUGCAGGCAUCUGUCUGUAAUUUCUUGUCUGCAUCAUUGCUUCAAGCUCCGGAAAGUACCCUGGCAACCACCCGUUGUAGCAUGAAACCUGUAAUUACUUCAUGUACUAUACAGAAGAAAAGACAGGCCACUACAAGGUUAACAAAUCAAGCUCUGCUAAACAAAUAGGAAUGGAGCAGCUCUUGCAGGAUGGGAAAUCCCUCACUGUGUUCAUACGUGUUUGACCGUCUCACACAAUGUUCAGUUUGAAACAUCUCAGACCUGAUGUACUUCUUGCCAUUCAGAGCUGCAAUAUGGGUCCUCUGGCCAGUGAGAGUGGGAUGACUUCUUUCUCCUGGCCAUCAAAUUCCCUCCAGUGGAAGUCUGUCUGCAUCCAGGAGCCUUAUUGUCACCUGGACAAAGAACUGAUGCCAGACUGUGAUCAUGGCAAGUUCACUCUGAAUCACGCCUUGUCAUGACUUAAGGUAAGAUGCUAAUUAUUCAUCUAAGCUCUUCUAUGUGUACUUAAUGUACUUAGCAAUGUAUUAUACU